AGUUAUAUGCUUGUCUCAGAGACUAAGCCAUGCACGUGUAAGUAUAAGCGAACAAUAGUGAAACUGCGAAUGGCUCAUUAAAACAGCUAUAGUCUACUUAGAGGUGCUGAUAUGGAUAACCCCGGCAAUGCCAGGGCUAAUACAUGUUUUCCUGCGACGGCAGACCUUAUCUCCAGAUCAACACGGCUUCGCCGAUUCAGAUUUGAAUUGAAUAAGGUAGGAUAUCGUUUAAUACACGAGGCACUAUUCGAGUUCCUGAUCCAUCAGCCAUCGACGCUAGGGUAUUGUCCUAUCGUCGCGUUAACGGGUAACGGGGAAUUAGGGUUUGAUUCCGGAGAGGGAGCCUGAGAGACGGCUACCACAUCCAAGGAAGGCAGCAGGCGCGUAAAUUACCCAAUCCUGACAUAGGGAGGUAGUGACAAGAAAUAAAAUUAAAGGGGCUAUGCUUCGUUAUUUGAAUGAGUUGAUUAUAAAUCUAUCUACGAUCAACAAUUGGAGGGCAAGUCUGGUGCCAGCAGCCGCGGUAAUUCCAGCUCCAGUAGCGUAUACUAAAAUUGUUGCGGUUAAAACGCUCGUAGUCUUAAUUUCUCCAGGGACGUUUCGCGAACACUCGUAAUUCUCCCUAAGCCUAAGUUCAAGAUUCAGUGAUUGCGUCCAAGCUAAUCACUGCCUCAGAACUUGUUACUUUGACUAAAUUAAAGUGUUUAAAGCAGACUAACGUCUGUAUACUUAAGCAUGGAAUAACAUCUACGACUCCAGUGCGUUGUGUUGGUCGUGCAUAGGAGUAAUAUUGAAUAGGAAUGACCAGGGGCAUUUGUAUCUGGGGGAUAGAGGUGAAAUUCUUAGACCUCCCAGCGACAAACUAAAGCGAAAGCAUUUGUCAGGAGUUCGUCCAUUGAUCAAGAACGAAAGUUAGGGGAUCGAAGACGAUCAGAUACCGUCGUAGUCCUAGCUCCAAACAAUGCCGACUGAGGAUCGGACGAGGAACUAGCUUCUUGUUCGGCACUCAAUGAGAAAUCAAAGUCUUUGGGUUCCGGGGGGAGUAUGGUCGCAAGGCUGGAACUUAAAGGAAUUGACGGAAGGGCACCACCAGGAGUGGAGCCUGCGGCUCAAUUCGACUCAACACGGGAAACCUCACCAGGGCAAGACAUAGUUAGGAUUGACAGAUCGAUGCUCUUUCUUGAUUCUAUAAGUGGUGGUGCAUGGCCGUUCUUAGUUGGUGGAGCGAUUUGUCUGGUUAAUUCCGUUAACGAACGAGACCCCGAUCUGCUAAAUAGUUGUCACCAAAAGGAGGAAGAUCAUCUGUUCUCUAAGAGAGAUAAGACCUUCCUCGUAACCUUCGGCGAACAGCUUCUUAGAAAAACCACGCGUGUGAACGCGAGGAAGCACGGGGCAAUAACAGGUCUGUGAUGCCCCUAGAUGCCCUGGGCUGCACGCGCGCUACAAUGGCAUGGAUAACGAGUUGCUCCGCCGACAGGCGUUGCAAACCUGAAAUUCACGCCGUGACAGGGAUAGACGUUUGAAAUUAUUCGUCUCGAACGAGGAAUUCCUAGUAAGCGCAAGUCAUCAGCUUGCGCUGAUUACGUCCCUGCCCUUUGUACACACCGCCCGUCGCUCCUACCGAUUGAAUGGUCCGGUGAGCUCGGGAGAAGCGCACUUCAAUUAGUGCACUGAACCUGCGCAAACCUUAUUAUGGCCGCGGGGAAGAACAACAGGGACGCCAUCAGUAACAGCGAGUGAAGACGGCCUAGCCCGACAGCGUCGUCGGUCUUUUUAAGCCGGCAUUAAAUGCUGAUAAGCCUUCCGCAAUUCAGCUUCCCUGAUGACCUUUGGAGAAUGGCGAAGAAAGGGGUGAUAUCCCCGACAGGAAGUUGAGUAGUAACUGGGCGAGCUGAAGAGUAGUGCUUCCUUGUAUAGGAGCGUGAAUAGGUGUUAGAUACCAUCUGAGGCUAAAUAUAUAGCCGUGACCGAUAGAACACAAGUACCGUGAGGGAAAGGUGAAAAGUACUUUGGAAAGAGGGUUAAGAUAACCUGAAAUCGCUUCGGUGGAAUCGUAACAGUCCAGUUAUGGGCUGUGCUUCGCAGAGUUGCGAGUUCGUACAGCCCUCAGAAACAAUCCCGUUCAGAGAACCGCCUCAGCAAUUUGUUAAAUGUCGUCAUCCGCAACGAGAGAUGGCGCCCAAGAAAGAGCGCCCGUGUGCUUUGCUAGGACUGUUACAUCCCGUCUUGAAACACGGACCAAGGAGUCUAUCGCGAAUGCGUGUGAUUGGGUUAUCCCUGUACACUUAGUGAAAGCAAUACCUUAUCCUGUUGUUCGAAAACGGCAGCGACGUAGUAUUCGCGACAGAACCCGAAAGGUGGUGAACUAUUCCUGGAUAGAAUGAAGCCAGGAGAAAUUCUGGUGGAGGUUCGAAGUGGUACUGACGUGCAAAUCGUUCGUCGAAUCUGGGUAUAGGGGCGAAAGACUAAUCGAACCACCUAGUAGCUGGUUCCCUCCGAA
rnacentral:rRNA from 1 species